CCUACGGGAGGCAGCAGUGAGGAAUAUUGGUCAAUGGGAGAGAUCCUGAACCAGCCAAGCCGCGUGAGGGAAGACGGCCCUAUGGGUUGUAAACCUCUUUUGUCGGAGAACAAAACCCGGGACGUGUCCCCGGCUGUGUGUAUCCGACGAAAAAGCAUCGGCUAACUCCGUGCCAGCAGCCGCGGUAAUACGGAGGAUGCGAGCGUUAUCCGGAUUUAUUGGGUUUAAAGGGUGCGUAGGCGGUCCGUUAAGUCAGCGGUAAAAUUGCGGGGCUCAACCCCGUCGAGCCGUUGAAACUGGCAGACUGGAGUGGGCGAGAAGUAAGCGGAAUGCGCGGUGUAGCGGUGAAAUGCAUAGAUAUCGCGCAGAACUCCGAGUGCGAAGGCAGCGUACCGGAGCCAGACUGACGCUGAGGCACGAAAGCGUGGGGAUCGAACAGGAUUAGAUACCCUUGUAGUC
rnacentral:rRNA from 1 species